CAUGUUUUACUAACUAUAAAUUUCUUUAGAACCAGAUAUUCAUACUAAACAUAAUUGUGACAAUGGACUGAUCAAUGACGGAUUUAUGAUACGAAAUGCUGAUGGUUCACUAUCGUGUAUCAAUGGUUGGAAAAAUAAAGCUCUAAAAGACGAUAAUUACAGUGUCUAUGGAAAACUGCUCGUAAAAGCUUAUACUAACGGUAAUUAAUAGACUAGUUAAUUUACUUACAUUAAUCUGACAAUUAAUAUAAUAUUUUAUAGUUCAUUCAAAUACGUAUUAAUUAUACCAAUAAUUAGUUGUAUAAUAAGGGGGGAGUUACCUAGGUUGGGCCACUUUUGACAUUUAGGAGUAUUCCAGUUAUUUAAAAUUAUAAUUAUUUAACUGCACUUAAAGGUAUCUAAGCAUGUGAACAAAAGUUUGAUAGUUAUUUUCUUUGUCAAUGGUAGAAUGAUUACAAAUUGAUCCAACUUAGGCAACUGGUUAUAUUAUUUGACCCAAUUAUAUUUUUUUAUUCAACCCCCCACAUUAUAAAACCCCAAACAUGAACAUAAGUCAAUAUAUUAUAUUAACCAAGUUUUGAACGGUUCAUUGCGGGCGCACACGAAUUGCAUACCAAAACAGGUAAACGAACCUUUUUGAACGAAUUAUAUCCCAGACGCACUUCAUGUUAUUUUCACUAACACAUUUUUUUUAGCGAUUCCCAAUGCUUAAUAAAAAUAAUAAUAAUUAAUUAAAAAUGUAUCAAUAACAUAAUAUUAUUACCUAUAUGAAAACCGGUUUUUAGUGGUUAUUUAUUUUCAAUAAAAAUACUACGGACUUCCCAAUCGGUAUGAGUAUGGAUUAAAGGCGAGGCACUGUAUAAGAAAACCUAGUUUAGUAUAGUAUAAUACUAUAAUAAAUUAGUGAUUAGUUAUUGCUUAUCUAACACAAUAUAAAUAUAAAAUAUUCCGUUUUAUUUAUUGUUUCUUGUAAUCACAGUGACACAUGUACGAAUGUACGAUGUUCAAGUUUUAAAUAUAAUGGGCAUUUAAAACAAUUCAAUCUUAUUUAAAAAAAAAAAUUCCCCCCCUCCCCCUGGCUACGGACUUGUAUAUUAUGGAAAUAUCACAUUAGAAACUAUAAUAAUUAACUGUAGGUGAAAAAGUAACAUGAAUUGUUCGUUUAUCUGACAUAAUGAUACAUAAUUCGUGUGCACCGGCGUAUGCUAGGGUUAUACCAGCGUAGUAUGCAGUGUACGGAUCAUUCUAGGUUUUUACAAUUUUUGGAAAAUAUAUGAAUUUUUUUGAACCAUGACUCUUUUUUGAUUUUUAAGCUUGUAUGAUUAGUACAUUGUACAUAUAUGUCCAAAUGUGUAUAUUUCAUAAACGUUCAACAUUCUUAAGAAACAAAUUUGAGUGUAACGAUACAUGUUGGUAGAGAGCGAUCGUUCCAGAAAACACAUUUCUGUGGUGUGUCAAUAGUAUCGGGCUGAGACUUACUGUGAAUAGCUAUACAUUUUAAAAAGGUUUAUGUUUUAAAUUGAUGUAUUUAUUUUUUAUUAAAAAUAAAAAACAUAAAGAAUUCAUAAACUACACGGCUUAAAGUAAAAACCUUAGAGAACUGCAACGCAGCCACUUCAUCGUGCUAAUAAUUACCAGACGUAUUUUUUAAGUGGACGACCGUAUGAGUUUGGUCUCCUUCUAAUUUUAGUCUUCAUGUUAAUAAUAAUAAUAAUAUGAUAUAUAACUCCAAAGACGUUAUACAACGGUAUUAAACAUAUGUAUAAAUUUUUUUAUUAUAAUUCAUGUUUAACAAUUGGGUAUAAUUGAGGUGGUCCAAUUUAGGUGCCUAACAAAUAUUAGCCUCUCCCCUAACUAAAAAAAAAGAGUUAAUUUAAUUAAAACUGAUUUAUUUUUAUUUUUUAGCUCAGGCGAUUCCUCCUAAUUUUUUUUGU